GGCUUUGUUUGCGCAGGAUAGGUGGGAGGCGUUGAAGAUUUUCUUGCGGGGAGAUUGGAGCCGUUGGUGAGAUACCACUCUAACAAUGCUAGGAUUCUAACCCUAUACCGUUAUCCGGUUAGGGGACAGUUUCAGGUGGUCAGUUUGACUGGGGCGGUCGCCUCCCAAAAGGUAACGGAGGCGUGCAAAGGUUUCCUCAGGCUGGUCGGAAAUCAGUCGUAGAGUGUAAAGGCAUAAGGAAGCUUGAUUGUGAGACCUACAAGUCGAACAAAGACGAAAGUCGGCCUUAGUGAUCCGACGGUUCCGAGUGGAAGGGCCGUCGCUCAACGGAUAAAAGUUACUCUAGGGAUAACAGGCUGA
rnacentral:rRNA from 1 species